rnacentral:rRNA from 1 species
CUCAGGACGACGCUGGCGGCGUGCCUAACACAUGCAAGUCGAGCGAGGAGAUUCCUUCGGGAUGAUCCUAGCGGCGGACGGGUGAGUAACACGUGGGCAACCUGCCUCAUAGAGAGGAAUAGCCUUCCGAAAGGGAGAUUAAUACCUCAUAACAUUGCAGUUUCGCAUGGAACAGCAAUUAAAGGAGUAAUCCGCUAUGAGAUGGGCCCGCGGCGCAUUAGCUAGUUGGUGAGGUAACGGCUCACCAAGGCGACGAUGCGUAGCCGACCUGAGAGGGUGAUCGGCCACAUUGGGACUGAGACACGGCCCAGACUCCUACGGGAGGCAGCAGUGGGGAAUAUUGCACAAUGGGGGAAACCCUGAUGCCAGCAACGCCGCGUGAGUGAUGACGGCCUUCGGGUUGUAAAGCUCUGUCUUCAGGGACGAUAAUGACGGUACCUGAGGAGGAAGCCACGGCUAACUACGUGCCAGCCGCCGC